AACGAACACGCAGAGCCACUCAGCCCGCCGAUUCCAGUUCUGCCCCGAUUUGAGACUGCCCAAAUCUCUGGCAAACGCCAAACAAAGCUCCGUGGAAACUGCCGCCUAAGGCCUUUGACAUGGUCCUCCGUAACAUCCUUCUCUCCAAAUUGGAGAGGUAUGAAUUUGACGGGUGGGACUGUUCGAUGGACAACGAAGCAGUUGCAAGAUUGUACCCAGAGAAUGAUGGUCAAUGGCACAAUGGCCGGAUGGAGAUCAGUGACAAGUGGUGUCCCUCAGGGGUCUUUUCUGGAACUGAUGCACCCUAAUGUCUUCACCAGUGACAUCGGCAGAGGGAUCGAGUGCGCUCUUCAAGUCUGCUGAUGACAUCAAGCUGUGGGGUGCACUUGGCACACCUGAGGGACAGGAUGCCAUCCAGACAGACCUGGGCAGGCUUGAGCAGCGGGCCCAGGAGGACCUUGUGAGGUUUACACAAAGCCAAGUGCAAGGUCUUGCACCUGGGUCAUGGCAACCCUCACUACCAAUACAAAUUGAGGGAUGUAAGGAUGGAGCACAGCCCUGAUGAAGAGGACUUCAAGGUACUGGUGGAUCGGAAGCUGGACAUGAGCGAGCAAUGUGCUGGCGCAGCCCCGAAAGCCAGCCAUGUCCUGAGCUGCAUCAAAAGAAGUGUGGCCAGCAGGUCAACAGUGGUGAUCCUGCCCCUCUGCUCUACGCUGGUGAGGCCUUACCUGGAGUACUGCGUUCACAUGUGGAGUCCUCACUACAGGAGAGGCAUGGGCUUGCUGGAGCAUGUCGAGAAAAGGGCCACAAAAAUGAUCCAAGGAAUGGAACACCUCUCCUACAAGGAUAGGCUGAGAGAGCUGGGACUGUUUGGCCUCGAGAAGAGAAGGCUCCGAGGUGAACUGAGAGCCACCUUUCAGUAUCUGAAGGGAGUCUGUAAGAAGGUAGGAGACAGACUCUUUAUCAGGACCUGCAGUGAUAGGAUAGGGGGAAAUUGUCUCAAACUAAAAGAGGGGAGAUUGAGGCUGGGUAUAAUGAAAAAGUUUUUUACAGUAAGGGUAGUGAAGCAAUGAAGCACAUUGCCCAGAGAGGUGAUAGAUGCCCUGUUCCUGGAGACAUCCUAGGUCAGACUGAGCAUGGCUCUGAGCAAUCUGAUUUAGCUGUAAGUAUCCCUGUUCACUGCAGGGGAGUUGAACGAAAUGCCCCUUAAAGAUCUCUUCCAACUGAAAUAUUUCUGUGACCCUUUGAAAAUGUUUAGAUGUUGUGCUUUCAGACCUGUUUAUGUAAAUUUAUUUCCUAUGACCAUGUCUUUAUUUCAGCCUGCCAUGCGUCUCUCUGGACUCUCUGUGGUCCCUCUAGGGUGAGGCCCACUAGGCAGGUGCAUCUGUCUCUGAGGACAAUUCCUACGUUCACCAAGCUCAGAUCUGCAUUUGCCCAACAGUGUGGGACCAGGUAUACGUGAGGUGCCCUCAGCGCUGCCUGGAUGGUGCAAGGGGAGCCUGCUGCUCUGCAGGCCUGCACCCACCACUGAGUUCACCACCUCACUGUGUGUUUUGAUGUCUUUUAUAUCAGUCAUGCUUUGGAAUAUCCCCAGUAAACUAUUACCUUUGUUCUUGUUUCUACCAGACAGUAUUAUAUAUAUCCUUCUAUGUUCUGUAAUGCUAAGGCUCCCGUGUUAGUAAUUUCCAUUGUGAGUCUGUGUCCAGGCUCCGAAUGUGUGUGCAGACUUAAUUUGCUCUGAUAAUAUCUCCUUGCUGUUUCAGAGCUGAGUACUGAUUUGGAUGCAAGUUGCCCAGCACAGAACACUUUUUUUUUUGCUGUCAAAGAGUGAACUGAUUACUUCUGUAACUAGGGCAGGCAUGUCCAACACACAGCCCAUGUGCUGCAUGAGACACAGUCCUGCCCAUCCCACAGCUGCACCAUCACAGUGCCCUGCACCAUCAUGGUGGCAGCUCUGCCCUGCUAAGUGGCCUGGCCCAGCCCCAGAGACACACUCAUCACUCAGCAACAAACAAACUUCAGCAUGCAGUUGGCACUGUCUGGGCUAAAAUCAGGACAUGGAGAGAGCACAGUGCAGGUCUAACUCAAGUUAUGGCAAAUAAUUGUAUGCAUUGUGAUACACUGGGUAAACACAGUUCUGUGAACAGUGAAAAAUAGGCAGUCAUGCUUUUCAUUUUGACAGUGGGAUUCGAUGAUAGGUUUCAAGAUUGGAAAAAAAUUUUUUUUUUUUUGUAUACUUACAACUCCUUUUUCAGUAGACAUAAAUGUAUUACCUGAGAAUUUUGAAGUGGAAUGUUUAGAGUUGCAAUCAGCAUCUCAGAAAACUGAUCAUGUCGCUUUAUCAGACUUUUAUAAGUACUAUCUUAGGAAAGAGAAAUAUCUCUCACUUCACAAUGACACCUUAUUCAUGUCAUCACUUUUUUGGCAGUAUGUAAACAACUGUUUGUAAACAACUGUUUUCAAGAAUGGAGUGCAGAAAGCAAAGUUUCAUCAAAAUCUCAGUCAAGUACCUUGAGAACUCAUGGCGAAUUGCAACUACUUCCAUCAAACCAGCCUGAUGCAUUGGUUUCACAAAAACAUGGUCUAAUAUCCCAUUAGUCUUAUGGUUUCGUUGCCCUAUUUUUUAUGUUUUAAUUAAAAAAAAUAGAAAAAAA